rnacentral:lncRNA from 1 species
CAGCCCCGAGAUUCAAAUUGUUCUUGAGGGGAAGAAGUUGGAAGUGGGAUAAUAACUCUCUGUAUGGAUGCAUUGCUGGUUUUAUUGAAAAAAUAUAAAUAGCAUUGCAGUAGUCUCCUUUUGCAAUGCUUCCCCCUCCCAUUCUUGAUUUCAUAUAAUUCAAGGGUGUGAAACAAUUUUUUUUGUCAGGUUAUUCUCAUGAUGACAUCUGUUGCAAAUUAGUAACCCAUAGCACAUACAUUUAAAAAAAUAAAGAACCAUCAGGAUUGAAAAAAAAAAAGAUAUAUAGAUACAGAUUUAGAUAUAGAUUUCGUUUUAUGUCUACUGCUUGCAUUUCCAGUUUUAU